AGUGAACGCUGGCGGUAGGCCUAACACAUGCAAGUCGAACGGCAGCACAGUAAGAGCUUGCUCUUACGGGUGGCGAGUGGCGGACGGGUGAGGCAUACAUCCGAAUUUCCUUUUACGUGGGGGAUAACGUAGGGAAACUUACGCUAAUACCGCAUACGACCUACGGGUGCAAGCAGGGAUUCUUCGGACCUUGCCCGAUUGAAUGAGCCGAUGUCGGAUUAGCUAGUUGGCGGGGUAAAGGCCCACCAAGGCGACGAUCCGUAGCUGGUCUGAGAGGAUGAUCAGCCACACUGGAACUGAAACACGGUACAGACUCCUACGGGAGGCAGCAGUGGGGAAUAUUGGACAAUGGGCGCAAGCCUGAUCCAGCCAUACCGCGUGGGUUAAGAAGGCCUUCGGGUUGGAGAGCCCUUUUGUUGGGAAAGAAAAGCAGCAGGGUAAAACCCCGCUGUUCUGACGGUACCCAAAGAAUAAGCACCGGCUAACUUCGUG
rnacentral:rRNA from 1 species